rnacentral:rRNA from 1 species
UACGAAGGGGGCUAGCGUUGCUCGGAAUCACUGGGCGUAAAGGGUGCGUAGGCGGGUCUUUAAGUCAGGGGUGAAAUCCUGGAGCUCAACUCCAGAACUGCCUUCGAUACUGGGAGCUCGAGUCCGGGAGAGGUGAGUGGAACUGCGAGUGUAGAGGUGAAAUUCGUAGAUAUUCGCAAGAACACCAGUGGCGAAGGCGGCUCACUGGCCCGGUACUGACGCUGAGGUGCGAAAAGCGUGGGGGAGCAAACAGGG